rnacentral:lncRNA from 1 species
CUCUGUUUCCAUGCAUGCGCAGAGGAAAGGCAGUGUGGAGAGGCAGUGAAAGCUGGGAAAAGAGGGCUAAGCAGUAACCACCCCUGCUGGCCUCCUGACCUUGGACUUGCAGGCUCCAGAACUGUGAAAGGAUCCAUAUGCGUUGUUUAACCCCCCUAGUCUCUCACGGUGGCCGGAGCUGACUUGGACGACAGCCAUGGAGACUCACUUAUUUUCCAGGGGACUGCAGAUCCCAGAUUCUACAGAGCAGCAGCUUCCUCAGGAAGAGUGGCCGUUCUUUUCACGAUAAUGAAAGUGUAAGAAGUACCUCCACAUGCCACACAAGUGGACAGGGAAGCCUGCUGGUGUGGCCCAUGGAUGCCAGUCUUCCAGAGCCCGGAGAAGAGUGGAGAAGGGCCAGAAGUGGAAUCGGAGGAGUAAAUAGCCCAUGUGAGGCUUCUGAUAGAUCUGCCUAG